GAUGUUUCGCCGAUCGAACAGAAGCGGACAUGCACGCCCUCACCCGCCUCCGCCUGGGCUCCGCCGAUGAGGAGGAAGCCGUCUCGGGCGCACCGCCAAUCAGUACUCGGCCCGGAUCCGGACCCUUGGUGAAGCCGCUGUGGUCUCUGCUUCCGUCUUCAGCGGUUCCUCCCAAUGCCGCUGUAUGAUGGAGAGUCUGGAUGAUCGGUGCUCCCCGAAGAGAUGGUCUCUGGGAAGUUGAUGGAGAAGGUGUCUUAUCAGAGAGAAGCAUAAUUGAUUAGCUUUCUCAGCCUUUUCCUCAGGAUGAUGUGGAGGACUUCUUGUGCUCUGGCAUCAAGUGUUUACACCUAAGCUAUCAUCAUGUUGCAGAUAGAAAUUUUUUGGUUAUGUCAUGUUCUUUAGAGAUUCAUUGUUAUUGUUAAUGCUCAUGGAUGUUAUUUUGUUGGUCUUCAAGAAUGUUAAACUAGUACAAUUUAUUCUCUCCUAACUAAUAAAACCACAUUCAGAUGUGUUGUGUGAUAGUGCUCGGUGAAUUUUACAUUCAUAGAUAUAGUGUCAGAAGAGAACAUACCAAGAAUUUCCAGUAUAUGACAUUUUCUGAAACAAAGUGCUGGAUGUUUAAUUUUGAUAAUCUUUUAGUAGGUUGAUUUAAACAUUCAAGGCGGCCUUUCUUACUUGGAUAAGAGUCAGAAAGAGAUGAAAUCUUGAAUGCCGUUUAGAAGUUGCUUUGGUUAAUCUGGAUGAAUAUCAAAUCCUAGUUAAUAUUAGGCUUGUUGCUGUAAUUUGGACUUGCUACAGUAAUCAAAUAGCAUAGACUGUAGGUGACUAUAUCGAGUUGUAAAAUUUUCAUUUACCUAGUAAAACUUCCAAUUUGUAUGCAUAGCCUGUGUGCCAUUGCUUAUUGUUUCCAAAUUGUUAUAAUGCAAUAACAAAGGUACUUAGCCUUGCAACUGUGACCUUGUGAGUUCGGCUGGU